AGGUGCUGCGCGGCUGUCGUCAGCUCGUGUCGUGAGAUGUUGGGUUAAGUCCCGCAACGAGCGCAACCCUCGUGUCUAGUUACUAACAGUUCGGCUGAGGACUCUAGACAGACUGCCUUCGUAAGGAGGAGGAAGGUGAGGACGACGUCAAGUCAUCAUGGCCCUUACGGCUAGGGCGACACACGUGCUACAAUGGAUAGGACAAUGAGACGCAAUAUCGCGAGAUGGAGCAAAUCUAUAAACCUAUUCUCAGUUCGGAUUGUAGUCUGCAACUCGACUACAUGAAGCUGGAAUCACUAGUAAUCGUAGAUCAGCCAUGCUACGGUGAAUACGUUCCCGGGUCUUGUACUCACCGCCCGUCACACCAUGGGAGUUGAUUUCACCCGAAGCGGGGAAGCUAAAUCGGCUACCCUCCACGGUGGAAUUAGCGACUGGGGUA
rnacentral:rRNA from 1 species